rnacentral:ncRNA from 2 species
UACGGAGGGGGCUAGCGUUAUUCGGAAUUAUUGGGCGUAAAGGGCGCGUAGGCGGCCCGGUAAGUCAAAGGUGAAAUCCCUCGGCUCAACUGAGGAACUGCCUUUGAAACUGUCGGGCUUGAGGCCGGGAGGGGGUAGCGGAAUUCCCAGUGUAGCGGUGAAAUGCGUAGAUAUUGGGAGGAACACCGGUGGCGAAGGCGGCUACCUGGACCGGUUCUGACGCUGAUGCGCGAAAGCGUGGGUAGCAAACAGG